UACAGAGGUCCCAAGCGUUGUUCGGAUUCAUUGGGCGUAAAGGGUGUGUAGGUGGCGCCGUAAGUCGGGUGUGAAAUCUCGGGGCUUAACUCCGAAACUGCAUUCGAUACUGCCGUGCUUGAGGACUGGAGAGGAGACUGGAAUUUACGGUGUAGCGGUGAAAUGCGUAGAUAUCGUAAGGAAGACCAGUGGCGAAGGCGGGUCUCUGGACAGUUCCUGACGCUGAGGCACGAAGGCCAGGGGAGCAAACGGGG
rnacentral:rRNA from 1 species